GAGUGGAUAGGACAGUCAAAUGUAGUAGAAGUGUGAAUGCAUGGAAUGAGUAGGAUGAGCUAGAAUGGUUUUUUAGCUAAGUUCUUGCUUUGCUCUCUCUCUCUCUUCGAGUUUAUAUAUACCUGACCUGACCUUUGAGAUUUGUCUCAGAGCCACAACUUUUCCUUGACUGCAGCAACAUCAGUCUUCUCUUCAACUAGGAGUAUCAUUCACCAACACUACCAUCUCUUCUCCAUCCGUCUCUUCCAUCACUUUCUUGAAGCCAUUCAUUCAUUUCCAAUUCCAAAGCCAUCAAUGGCAACUUUUUCGUACCAACGCCAACAACAACCUUUACAUCUUGAAUCAUCAUCAGGACUGUUUUUGCAAAGCAGCUCCCAAAUGAGGAUGUCUGCAGGCCUUCUUGAGGAGCCAAACAUGACAAGAAUGACCACCACCACUACUUCUUUCCCUCAUUCUACCAGCCUGAUCAUUUUCUGCAUCAGGAAAUCCCUUCCAAAUCCUAUGUUAAUGAAAGUACUUGUUCCAUCUUUGACCAGAGCUGCACAAAAGUUGCUCAUUUUAGCAAUAAUGGGCCGUCCUUAACAAACAAAACUUCCACUGAUUCUUCAUCAGUAACUGAUAAACUUGAAAGUGGGGAGCAAGUUACUCAGAAGGUACAUGCUGCAGCCAUGGACAAGAAGAGGAAAACAAAGAAGGGCCUCUUCCUGUAAAUUCUGCUCAAUCAAAAGCUAUAGGAGAUCAAUUAGCUAAAGGGAAAAAGCAGAGGAAAUGUGGCAGAAUUAUGAAAGAGGAUGAAGACAAGAAGUCUAAUGAGGAUAAAAAAGUUCCAGAGAAAGCUGCUGAAGAAGCUCCCCCACAGGCUACAUUCACGUAAGAGCAAGGAGGGGCCAAGCCACGGACAGCCACAGCCUAGCUGAAAGGGUGAGGAGAGAGAAAAUCAGUGAAAGGAUGAAAAUAUUGCAAGCACUUGUUCCAGGUUGUGACAAGGUAACCGGAAAGGCCCUCAUGUUGGAUGAAAUAAUCAAUUACGUCCAAUCCUUACAAAAUCAAGUUGAGUUUCUAUCCAUGAAGCUUGCUUCUCUAAAUCCGAUGUUCUAUGAUUUUGCAUGGACUUGGAUCCAUAUAUUGCAAGACCAGAACCGACGCUGAGUAACAUGGCAUCACCGGUUCAAAAAUAUGCAACAAUGUGAUCCAAUGCAGGCACCAAUCAUUUCUGGCCACAAAACAAUAGCUUGAAGAACUGAUACUGCCAAUAACUAUCCUCAGUUGGAUUCUUCAGCUUCAGCAUUAUUAAUUCAAGAAAGCCACCACAUCCCUCAAAUUCUCUCUCAGGAAAAUGGACAGCUCUUGUGGGAUGUGGAUGACCGAAGACAGAAACUUAUUAAUCAGACGGGGUUCAACAACAACUUGUGUUCGUUUCAUUAAUUAUAAGACCAAAGGGCAAGAGUUGCCCUACACAUAUCUGGUUUGUCAAGAUUUGUGAAGGGCAAAAAGGUAGUGCCAGACAAAUGUUACUGUAGUUUUUUAUUCCUUAGUAUCAAUUCUAAUGGAGAAGGGUUUCAGCUUUCAUAUUGGUUUGAUCACCUCUCAAAGCUCGGAUUCUGAAUUCAUUGGAGGAAUGGGGUCUUCUCUCUCCCUGAUCACAUGAAUAAAAAGAAAAGCAAAGUAAAGGGCAUGAAGAGGAUAGCAAUCAAUGGACACACAAGGACAAACACAACCGACCAAAUAUGACUAGAUCUUUUUCAGAUCCUUUGUUCCUGUCUAAUUUGACUCCCAACUGUCAGAAGCACAAAUUCCUAGCUAGAGACUUGGCUUUACAUAUGUACUUAAUAUGAGGUAAAUCCAAGAAAAUAUAAUGUAAACAGUUGUAAAAGAAUCUGUUAAGGUAUCAUAAUACUGAGUUGCAUGUAACUUGCUGGUAGUAGUCUAGUAGUCCCGCGUUUCUUCUUCUUAGUAUUGUCACUGUAAUUCUGUUAUACUAGAAGAUAGUUUUUACCGUUGUAGUUUUCUUGUCCCUUUGUUACAUUGAAUUGCACUGCGAGUCUGCUACUA